AACGAACGCUGGCGGCAUGCCUAACACAUGCAAGUCGAACGAAGCCUUCGGGCUUAGUGGCGCACGGGUGCGUAACGCGUGGGAAUCUGCCCCUUGCUUCGGAAUAACAGUUAGAAAUGACUGCUAAUACCGGAUGAAGUCUUCGGACCAAAGAUUUAUCGGCAAGGGAUGAGCCCGCGUAGGAUUAGGUAGUUGGUGGGGUAAAGGCCUACCAAGCCGACGAUCCUUAGCUGGUCUGAGAGGAUGAUCAGCCACACUGGGACUGAGACACGGCCCAGACUCCUACGGGAGGCAGCAGUGGGGAAUAUUGUACAAUGGACGCAAGUCUGAUCCAGCAAUGCCGCGUGAGUGAUGAAGGCCUUAGGGUUGUAAAGCUCUUUUACAAGGGAUGAUAAUGACAGUACCUGGAGAAUAAGCUCCGGCUAACUACGUG
rnacentral:rRNA from 1 species